GACGAACGCUGGCGGCGUGCUUAACACAUGCAAGUCGAACGGAGUGGCGAACGGGUGAGUAACACGUGGGUGACCUGCCUUGCACUCUGGGAUAAGCUUGGGAAACUGGGUCUAAUACCGGAUAGUGCAAGAUGAGCUCGCGGCCUAUCAGCUUGUUGGUGGGGUAAUGGCCUACCAAGGCGUCGACGGGUAGCCGGCCUGAGAGGGUGUACGGCGACAUUGAGACUGAGGUACGGCCCCGAUGGGUACGGGUGGAAGAAGGGGGGAAGAUUGCUCAAUGGGUGGAGGCCUGAUGCAGAGAGGCCGCGUGUGGGAUGACGGUCUUCGGGUUGUAAACUCCUGUCGACAGGGACGCGGUAACUAACCAGAAAGGGACGGCUAACUACGUGCCAGCAGCCGCGGUAAUAC
rnacentral:rRNA from 1 species